rnacentral:rRNA from 1 species
AUUGAACGCUAGCGGGAGGCCUAACACAUGCAAGUCGAACGGGAUUGGGAGCUUGCUCCCAUGAGAGUGGCGCACGGGUGAGUAACGCGUAUGCAACCUGCCUUUAACUGAGGGAUAGCCCAUAGAAAUGUGGAUUAAUACCUCAUAGUUCUAUUGUUCCGCAUGGGAUGAUAGAUAAAGCUCCGGCGGUUAAAGAUGGGCAUGCGUGACAUUAGCUAGUUGGUGAGGUAACGGCUCACCAAGGCUACGAUGUCUAGGGGUUCUGAGAGGAUGAUCCCCCACACUGGUACUGAGACACGGACCAGACUCCUACGGGAGGCAGCAGUGAGGAAUAUUGGUCAAUGGGCGCAGGCCUGAACCAGCCAUCCCGCGUGAAGGAUGAAGGUCCUAUGGAUUGUAAACUUCUUUUAUACACCAAGAAAAACUCCCACGUGUGGGAGCCCGACGGUAGUGUAUGAAUAAGCAUCGGCUAACUCCGUGCCAGCAGCCGCCGUAAAAC